rnacentral:rRNA from 1 species
AACGAACGCUGGCGGCAUGCCUAACACAUGCAAGUCGAACGAGACCUUCGGGUCUAGUGGCGCACGGGUGCGUAACGCGUGGGAACCUGCCCUUAGGUUCGGAAUAACUCCCCGAAAGGGGUGCUAAUACCGGAUAAUGUCUUCGGACCAAAGAUUUAUCGCCUUUGGAUAGGCCCGCGUUGGAUUAGCUAGUUGGUAGGGUAAAAGCCUACCAAGGCGACGAUCCAUAGCUGGUCUGAGAGGAUGAUCAGCCACACUGGGACUGAGACACGGCCCAGACUCCUACGGGAGGCAGCAGUGGGGAAUAGUGGAACAUGGGCGAAAGCCUGAUCCAGCAAUGCCGCGUGAGUGAUGAAGGCAUUAGGGUUGUAAAGCUCUAUUACCCGGGAUGAUAAUGACAGUACCGGGAGAAUAAGCCCCGGCUAACUACGUG